rnacentral:rRNA from 1 species
UCCUCUAGAGAUUUGAUCCUGGCUCAGGCUGGAUCACCUCCUUAGAAUUUGAUCCUGCGUGGGUAACCUACCCAUCAGAGGGGGAUAACACUUGGAAACAGGUGCUAAUACCGCAUAACAGUUUAUGCCGCAUGGCAUAAGAGUGAAAGGCGCUUUCGGGUGUCGCUGAUGGAUGGACCCGCGGUGCAUUAGCUAGUUGGUGAGGUAACGGCUCACCAAGGCCACGAUGCAUAGCCGACCUGAGAGGGUGAUCGGCCACACUGGGACUGAGACACGGCCCAGACUCCUACGGGAGGCAGCAGUAGGGAAUCUUCGGCAAUGGACGAAAGUCUGACCGAGCAACGCCGCGUGAGUGAAGAAGGUUUUCGGAUCGUAAAACUCUGUUGUUAGAGAAGAACAAGGACGUUAGUAACUGAACGUCCCCUGACGGUAUCUAACCAGAAAGCCACGGCUAACUACGUGCCAGCAGCCGCGGUAAUACGUAGGUGGCAAGCGUUGUCCGGAUUUAUUGGGCGUAAAGCGAGCGCAGGCGGUUUCUUAAGUCUGAUGUGAAAGCCCCCGGCUCAACCGGGGAGGGUCAUUGGAAACUGGGAGACUUGAGUGCAGAAGAGGAGAGUGGAAUUCCAUGUGUAGCGGUGAAAUGCGUAGAUAUAUGGAGGAACACCAGUGGCGAAGGCGGCUCUCUGGUCUGUAACUGACGCUGAGGCUCGAAAGCGUGGGGAGCAAACAGGAUUAGAUACCCUGGUAGUCCACGCCGUAAACGAUGAGUGCUAAGUGUUGGAGGGUUUCCGCCCUUCAGUGCUGCAGCAAACGCAUUAAGCACUCCGCCUGGGGAGUACGACCGCAAGGUUGAAACUCAAAGGAAUUGACGGGGGCCCGCACAAGCGGUGGGAGCAUGUGGUUUAAUUCGAAGCAACGCGAAGAACCUUWCCAGGUCUUGACAUCCUUUGACCACUCUAGAGAUAGAGCUUUCCCUUCGGGGACAAAGUGACAGGUGGUGCAUGGUUGUCGUCAGCUCGUGUCGUGAGAUGUUGGGUUAAGUCCCGCAACGAGCGCAACCCUUAUUGUUAGUUGCCAUCAUUUAGUUGGGCACUCUAGCGAGACUGCCGGUGACAAACCGGAGGAAGGUGGGGAUGACGUCAAAUCAUCAUGCCCCUUAUGACCUGGGCUACACACGUGCUACAAUGGGAAGUACAACGAGUCGCUAGACCGCGAGGUCAUGCAAAUCUCUUAAAGCUUCUCUCAGUUCGGAUUGCAGGCUGCAACUCGCCUGCAUGAAGCCGGAAUCGCUAGUAAUCGCGGAUCAGCACGCCGCGGUGAAUACGUUCCCGGGCCUUGUACACUCCGCCCGUCACACCACGAGAGCUGGAUCCCCUCCUUAGAGUUUGAUCCUGGCUCAGGCUGGAUCACCUCCUUAGAGUUU